AUCUACGCUGCUCAGACUUUCCAAAAAUGUUGUCGAUCCGAGCAACACAGGUUGACAUCAUAAACGCAAAUUACACAACAACAACACACCCAGUGUAUUCGCACAACAUGGGAUCUGGUGAGGGCAAAGUGUACGCAGUACAUACCACUACCUCAGAUGAAGUAUAGAGGUUGUUUCCGAUCGACACCCAACUCAGGACAGAUAACAGUAUAACAAACAAAAAACAUAAAAGCAAACAACAAAAAUGACUAUUUAGGAGGAUCUGAUACAUACACAUCGAUAUUCUUGAAGAGUAGUCCGAGGAACAUCGACUGAGAUUGUAAACACAAAUUAAGGUGUUCAAAUUAGUCGAUUUAAUUAGCAGAAAAUUUAUUUUUACACCAUAAACAUAAAUUGGCAUCAAUACUUCAAUAACAUCUCUUUUGAGCCAAGGGGUUCAUCAAAAACAGUCGCCCUAACCCACAAAGGUUCUAAGAGUUAGGCCUACAGACAUCCAAUCCUCCCCAGACCCCACUUGUGGUAUCCUGCUGUUAGUGACAUCUAUGUUGCUCAGAGUACCGACAUUGACAUCUACGCUGCUCAGACUUUCCAAAAAUGUUGUCGAUCCGAGCAACACAGGUUGACAUCAUAAACGCAAAUUACACAACAACAACACACCCAGUGUAUUCGCACAACAUGGGAUCUGGUGAGGGCAAAGUGUACGCAGUACAUACCACUACCUCAGAUGAAGUAUAGAGGUUGUUUCCGAUCGACACCCAACUCAGGACAGAUAACAGUAUAACAAACAAAAAACAUAAAAGCAAACAACAAAAAUGGAUACCACACAGCUAGAUAAUAAAGGAAACAAGACACCCGACAAGGUAAUAGUAUAAACUAGCUAUUCGAAAUCAUAGACAUCACAAAAACACCACAAACAAGAGACUACAAGAAACUACAGGCAUAGAUACAAACAAAGCAAAGUAUUCAAAUUAGUCACGUUUAACAACAAAAACACACCCAGCGUAUGUGUAUUCCCACACACUGGGUAAAUGUGUACGCAGUCAGUACUCAGAGGUGAGGU
rnacentral:lncRNA from 1 species